GAUGAACGCUGACAGAAUGCUUAACACAUGCAAGUCAACUUGAAUUUGGGUUUUUACCUUAGGUUUGGGUGGCGGACGGGUGAGUAACGCGUAAAGAACUUGCCUCACAGCUAGGGACAACAUUUGGAAACGAAUGCUAAUACCUAAUAUUAUGAUAAUAGGGCAUCCUAUAAUUAUGAAAGCUAUAAGCGCUGUGAGAGAGCUUUGCGUCCCAUUAGCUAGUUGGAGAGGUAACGGCUCACCAAGGCGAUGAUGGGUAGCCGGCCUGAGAGGGUGAUCGGCCACAAGGGGACUGAGACACGGUCCUUACUCCUACGGGAGGCAGCAGUGGGGAAUAUUGGACAAUGGACCGAGAGUCUGAUCCAGCAAUUCUGUGUGCACGAUGAAGUUUUUCGGAAUGUAAAGUGCUUUCAGUUGGGAAGAAACAAAUGACGGUACCAACAGAAGAAGUGACGGCUAAAUACGUG
rnacentral:rRNA from 1 species